GACGAACGCUGGCGGCGUGCUUAACACAUGCAAGUCGAACGGAAAGGCCCUGCUUUUGUGGGGUGCUCGAGUGGCGAACGGGUGAGUAACACGUGAGUAACCUGCCCUUGACUUUGGGAUAACUUCAGGAAACUGGGGCUAAUACCGGAUAGGAGCUCCUGCUGCAUGGUGGGGGUUGGAAAGUUUCGGCGGUUGGGGAUGUACUCGCGGCUUAUCAGCUUGUUGGUGGGGUAGUGGCUUACCAAGGCUUUGACGGGUAGCCGGACUGAGAGGGUGACCGGCCAAAUUGGGACUGAGAUAGGGCACAGACUCCGACGGGAGGCAGGAGUGGGGAAUAUUGCACAAUGGGCGGAAGCCUGAUGCAGCAACGCCGCGUGCGGGAUGACGGCCUUCGGGUUGUAAACCGCUUUCGCCUGUGACGAAGCGUGAGUGACGGUAAUGGGUAAAGAAGCACCGGCUAACUACGUG
rnacentral:rRNA from 1 species